CAUAUCUUCACUCCUCCUCCUCCUCCCCCUUUCCCUGCUCUCUUGGAGAUGACGAUGGUUAGCCGAUCACGGUGGAGGUAACCCCGCGAUGCACCGACAUUUAUUAUCGCGCACUCGCAACACAACUACUCCCCUUCGUAUCCUCCUCGUGCACAUACGGCACUCAGUCGUUCUGUCGCACGUGGAAAACGCACCCGCCCGCCGCGGACACGUACUGUCAAGCGUCCGCUUGCAUCGUUAUCCUUGUCGGAGCAUCCGCGAUUCACGACGCAGCCCUUUGCUAAAUCGCACUCGCCGUCAUGGUGCCGAUCGCACUCUCACCGAAAACGUGGCUUGCUCGCGUAGAUUCAUCCGCGGGGGUGAAGGAGCGAAGAAAAUCGUCGUCACCCCGAUGCACCGUAACUCCCGAAGACUCUCGACAACUUUCUCGCGGGUUUUCGAUUAGGACGAGAGAAAAAAGAAGCGACGCAAGGAAUAAUCCCAAAUGAGAUGUUCGAUAGAUCGCUCUCUCUCUCUCUCUCCCUCGCGUUCGUCCAACACACCGAGAACACCGUCGGAGACGAUCUCUCCUAUCCCGUCGCGCGAAUCACUGCGUCCGCACCGGCGGUAUCAGCCGGUCGGUCGAGGGAGGAGAGGACGGAGGGAAAAGAGAAAGAGCGGACGACACGACGCGAUGCCGGGGGGCCGCCGGUGGAGAGAAACCACGGCGCGCGCGUUCGCAACGGCCGCCGCGUGGAAAGGCAGUUGAGAACUGACUGCCUCCUCUCUCGAAGCGAGCCUCCUCGCUCCCAUGGCCCGAGCUUUGAGUGACGCGAGGCGACGCGGCGCGACGCGACGCGACGCGCGGCCGGUGUGACGCGUACAUCUCUCUUUCUCCAUCUCUGUCCGUCGUUCCCUUUUACUCCGCUCCGUUUCUCUCUCUCUUCCUUCUCUCCUUCGCCCUCUUUCUCUGUCGUCCCUCCCUCUCUCUCUCACGACUCACGGCUCGCUGCUCUCCUUUUAUCCCUCUCUCGCGCCUUCUCCGUCGCGCGCACUCUUUCGCUGUCGCCUCGUCUCUCUCGCCCCCCGCGUGUCUCGGCCACAUCUCUGUCCCCCUUUCGACAGCCCUCCCCUAGCACGCGGCGCGCCGCGUUGCGCGCACAUGCAUCUCGUUGCGUGUAUGCGUUCCUUAGAUAUGGAUAUGGAUAUACCGUACGUGAUGUGUGUGCGCGCACCGUAGCGACACCGGGCUCUCACCGGAGAACAUGGACCUGUCGCCCUCAGCUUCUUCAUUCUCCGUGCUCGUCGCCUCCUGCACCCCUCGCUGACGAGCGGCGACAAAGCCUAGAGCUUCCACAAUGUUCGUUUCGUCGUCUCUCUCGGUCUUUUUCUCCUCGGCUCUCUCGUUCGCCGUCGUCAGGACGCGUUUUAAGGAUCCUGAUGACAGCGAGUGAAAGAGAGAGUCUUGGCUCGCCCUUUCACAUGUCGUGAGGUCACUUGACGGGUCGUUCGUUCGCGCGUGUAUUUUUUGGCUAAACUUUUCUGGCUAAAAUGUCGCUAGUUCUCAUGCUGUGAGCAAAUUUCAAUCAAACGCAUUACCGGAAGCAAGUUCACUUAUAGUAAACCGUCUUACACAGCACUUUAUCUUCUUAGGCAUCGUGCCAAAGUGGUUCGGCUACCACGUCGUAGCUUCUGGGGCGAAUAACGGAAGGAACUGCCGUUUCCUCGUGAUUUUAUAAGUAUUUGUUUUUCAUUAAAACCACCCUUUUCCCCAGCGGUGUCGCCGCGCCUAAAUAUACAUAUUUAACAGUCCGGGUAUACCCACGAGAAAAAUGAGACGAAAGAUACAUCUAUUAAACAUCUCAGCAGAUCUCGUUAAAUAAAUUCGUUGGAAGUUAAAGAAGAAUUGAUCGCGAGACGAUCAACAAGUACUAAAAACUGUCUUAUGGCCUACCUUGCACAUAUGCAGGAUCUAUAUAUUUUAUAUUAACAUUAUUAUUUAAAAAACUGGAAAUUUAAACUCCAAUUUCGUGAUAUUUUAAUAUCUCGCGAUCGCCUUCGAGACACAGACACCGCGCCGAAACUAUCUCUCUCCCUCGUUCAUCGUCGGGGGUGCGUGCUCACGCUUCCCCUCGUUACUUUCGUUCCCCGCCGAAGUGGCUUUGAGGAUCGCACGUACGGGGGGACACCAUCGCCUCGGCUACCUGCACUCGCGUCGAGGGUGAGACAAAGGGGCGCGCACCCGCCAGAGUUCCAGAUUCAAAAGAAGACGACUAACCCUUCUCGUAACCCCCCGGCUGAACUGGGGUCUGUCGCGUAGCUGCGUAGUCGGUAUUGCAAACGGCGGUGGCGUCGGUGAGUGGUUUGCACCAAAGAUCAGUAAUUCGCUCGCAGGUGAAAAUAGUAACGACCAUCGACUCAUUCGCGGCGCGAAUCCGGUGAAAGGCUCGCGAUCGAUCGUCCGUGUCUCUCAUCGUCGACUGCCGUUUCCGUCUCGCUCGUCAAUCCUUCCCCUUUCUCUCUCUCCCCUUUUUAGUUAGCAGUAUCAACGAUUAUCGGUAUAACGAUUUACAAGAAAAACAUGAGAUUAACUAGGCGAUUAUCGCAUACACGAUGCGAUUCAUUAAUUAAUAUUAGUUAAUUGUUUUUGUAGACUUUGGCGCUUCGUGAAAAAGUUAAUCAGCCAGUAUUGCAUUUAGAGCUGGUUGCGAAAUCAUCAAUAAUUAACGAGAUUCUCGCAAUUUCAUGAAAUUUCCGACUGGUCCGUUUUAUGCAGCUCUCGGUGGCAGUGUCAUAAUUUCGAUAAUGCGACGUCGUAUCGAUCGUGACGGUCCCGGAAAGUCCUAUGGAAAUAAAAAGAGACCCAGCGAAUAUAACGUAGUUUUCUCUCUUUCUUUCUGCCUCUCGUCGUCGAUACAUCUUGUCAUCGACUGCAUCCAAUGGUCUAUUGUCUCUCGAGGAAUCUCCCCUUUUUCCUCACAUACGCGGCCUCAUAUACACCAAUAUCACGAUACGGGAUAUUCGCGAAGUGGAGGACACAGAAACAGUCGCGAGAGCGAGCGAGAGCGGUGACUUUGUAAAAGAGAAGCGAAGGAUACCGAAUGGAAAAAUUAAAAAUGAGAGGAAAACCGAAUGAACGAAUGGAUGAAACGAGACGGAGAAUGCGAGAUGAAGAAAAUGCUGCGCAGCGGUAGGAUAACGAUUUUGAAUGUUCUCCAAAAACUUGUGAAAAUCUCGUAAUAUACUUUUCCAAGGUAGACUCCCUUAAUGGCGAAUAAUACCAUCGCGGCGAGAAAUUCCGAAAGUUCCUCGCAAUUUCCCGUACCUCUCUUGUGCCCGACUGUUUUCAAUUUCCCUGACUUCUCUCCGGCUUCCUGCGGACCCGCAGCAACCCCGGCCAACAACCUGGGUAUAUCGGUGAUGACGGUUGGUGUGCAGCGUGCUGCAGCGUCGACGAGAGAAAAAAAAUGAAGAGAUGGCACGAGAUAAAACGUAAUGAGAAGGAGGGAAGAAAUGCCGCGGUUUACUCCCUAUCGGUCGCGACUUCUCUAUACCGCAUUAUUAACACGUCGGCAAGUUUGUAGCGGCAUUAUGCGCACACGUAACACGUUAACACAGUUUUACCCGUGAGAAUACAUAGGCGAAAGCGCAGUAUGGAUGACGGACACGUUAAACUACACCGUGAUUCCUGAAAGGCGAGACAUUUUCACGGAUGUAUCGGAGAUACACCCGGACGACACACAAGCUGGACACGCGUCAAGGUGUGGCCAUUGAUUCGGACCGCCCUAUGUGACGUGUCCGAUUUCCGUAAAAGAUUUCGAGGAAGCGCAUGGAGUGUUAAUCGAUAACUUUAUCUGGAACGAACAAAAGAGGGGACGUUAAAAAUAACUGAAUCAUAAAUUAUCGAAGCAACAUGUAAUCGCGACUCGUUUAUCCAACAAAAUACGUUCGGAACACACCUCACGCGUUUACCGCAUCCGCACCCUGUAGAAUCGCCGUGAAAGGUUUCGUCUUUUCGAAAGACCUCACGUGUGCGUUUUGCUCGUGCUGCCGAGAAUCCGAUUGAACGCAAUUAGGCAGCAGACAUCGAGCGGAUGAACGAUUAACGAUCCCCUCGGUGAGAAAAUAUGCGGGUGGUCGGAAGUUGAGAACCGUCGCAUUCCGAGGGAUGAACGAACACGCUAGUUCGCGUGUUAUGUACCGAGGCACGUUCUUUGUUCCUCUCGAGUGUUCCCUCUCCCCGUCUCUCUUUCUCGACGUGCUUUCCUCUUUCCUUCUCGGUCGAUCUCGCUCCCUUUCACGUUCCUCCUCUCAACCAUACCUCUCUCCGCUCGCAACCCUCACGUGAGCCGCUGCCACCCUCUCUCCCGGGGUCUCUUAUUAUAAUAAAAAAUUUCCACGUGAGCGCGGCUCGCGUAUAUAAAUAUACUUGGCGGAGCAUGCGCGCGCGCUCGACUUAAAGUGCUCGACUGCAUCCACCUAUCUAGCUAGCUAGUUAACUACCUACCUACCUACCUACCUACCUACCUAUCUACCUACCUACCUAGCGAGCUAGCUGGCUGACUUGGCUGGCUUGGCUACCUGUGCACAUGCACCCGUGGCGUUGGCGUAAUAAACGUCCUAGCUGGAACGCAGCGGGAGUUUUAAUCGCGCUCGAGUAAAAAAAGAGGAUCAACGUAGCACGGCCGACCGAUAUUCGCCCUUCGUUUUUUCCCCCUUUCUCGUCCGUCUCGAUGACAUUAUUAACAUAGAACGUGUACAAAUUUCAUCCUGUUAAACAUGUCAAACGCGCAUCGAGCAUUACUAGAAGACUUGGGAAGAAAGUUCGAUAUUACUUGAUAAUACCUGACAACAUCAGAAUGAAAUUUUCAAGUCUAGCGAGUAGCAUAGGAAAAUUUGUCUCGCGUUUUUGCAGUGGCACAUGACCCCGCUAACGAGGUUCGUCUCUCAGAUCUGUAAUCAGUGACGUGAAAAAUUCUCAGAGUCCAAUUUGUAUGUAAAUUAAAGUGCCGUUUCAUCGCCUAAUCGCGGUCGGAACGCGAGUGGAUAUUCGCGUUACGAAUCGCGAGCGUAAGUUCAUGCGCACCCCCUCGCUCGAUCGAUGGACGCGUGUACGCGUCCGCCAUGAAUUUAACAACCUAACGAAAAGGGAAAGGAACAGCGACGGCACUUGGUCACGAUUUUCCGGGACCUCGCGCGCUUUGUCUCGCCCCCAAGGGUGAGACGCAGACGAGACGCGGAUAAGGGGGUUGCGACCCCGAAGGAGGGCUCGAGUGAACAAGUUGAAGAGGUUGCGCGACUCGACUCGCUUCUAGCCUAGAUUCGACACUCCGCGGGUGAUCCGCGGAGAUUUUAAUUAGGAUCCGGUCGCGGCUGGGACACGCACGGUCCGUGUUCUUUCGAGACUAAUGAUCCUCCCGCCGGGUUGAUUAAUAUCCCGCGCACGGGGGCGACGUUCCCGUGCGGAUCCGUGGCGCGUGAUGCAACGAUAAUGGGUCGUGUUAUCGAUUCGUCGACAUUCCGCGGGAUCCGUUCCUCCGAAUGGAUGCGGCAAUUACGCGUUAUUAAUAAUAAACAAGAGUGCGGCCAUUCUUAAAUAAAGAACAUUUAUAAUAUUUUACGCACGUUAAUAUCAAUUGCACUCUCGAUUUAUAUCAAUUGAGUUCUCUUGAUACAUCUCAAUGACAAACAGUGAUAUGCUACAAUUGUAAAACGUUAUUGGAACAUGCAAUAAAAUUAGUUGUCACUGCGAAACGAUCGCUUUACAAAAAAAAUCUAGGAAACCGUCGACAAUGUGUCCGAGACUGUCCGUUCUGAAAUUCGUACGGCGGUUUGACGCGGGAUGAGUCAUCGAUCGAUUUUCUGCGCGUGAAAGGCCCCACGGCAGGGUGAUAAAUUUCAAUAAGGUUCAACCUUGACCUUUCUUGAUCCGUUCUGUCUAUCAUCGAGAACUGUGACGCUCCAUGCAAACACGUACAAUCUUUGAAAUGAGAUCUUUUCAAUAAUAUCGAAUAAAAUAUGUUCUGACAUUUGGUGAUGAAUUUAAGUUUCGCAAAUGUUAUUUGUUUCAUGGCAGUCGUUAAUCCCGACAGAUAAACAUCUCACGUUAAUAACCGUCGGAACGAGGAAAUCUCAUGAAACGAGCGCGCGGCACGUUCGUAAGAGUGAAAAAUAAUGAGAUAAGACCAAUGUGUAUGUACGUGUGUGUGCCAAUGUUGUGUGCAGCUAAAAUAGCAUACGUCAAGAACAUCCAAGCUGGUUUCCACGAUAUCCCCCCGUGUGAAGCACCGUCACAUAGCAGCUCAAUAUAGUCGACAAAGACCGUCAUAAUAAAGCCUCUGCAGUCUCUGCCACUCCUGCUUGAUUAUUUAUAGGAGAGAGUUGCGGGAGGGAUGGAAAUUAUUUUCCAUACUCGUUACUUUCCCUCUUUCUCGCUUGAUAAUGACCAACGUAUAGAUAUAAAAAUUUUAUAUUUAAUCAUCGCGACGGACUGCAAUCUCUUCCGAGAAGCGCUCCUUGUCCCUCGGCAGCAACCAGGACUCUUCGAUCCCCUUUGCUCAUCGAAACAGGUGAAUUUCCACGACGAUGACGAGUGUCGGUGCAUCGAGGCAGGUGUCGGAAAAAUGAAGAAGCGCAUCUCCGACUCUAGCAAAGAUUGCGCGGCAUUCAGUUCUUGGAAUGCAGUCCAUCAACGACGGAUUCGUACGAAUGACUCUGUACUCGAAGAGUCCCGUCGAGAGGCUGUCACUCAGUGAUUUAUACGUUCGUCCACGUCGAGGCCGCUGGUCCUCCCGGUCGCCCCCUUUAAAAACCCGCGUGAACCGCGCGGAAAUCCAUUAUCGACGCGAGGACCGCUUUCACGUGGCCAAAUGGAAAAAAAGGAAAUGUGCUCGAGAAGACGUUUGAUCAAGGUCCCGCGCGAGCAGCAUCAUUGUAUUCGACAGCUGACAAGAUCGAGCAAAAAGUGGUCCAAAUGCUUCUAUUGGUCAAAGUUGUCAUGCGAGGCCAAUUUCGCGUUAUUAAAUAUAAUGCCGCAUCUCAAACUAAGAGAGGAAAGGAAUGACAUUUCUCUUAAUUUCAUUUAAUAAAUCUAAAUAACGUUUCUUGCAAAUCAAUUUAGCGAAUUUGGUUGCAGAUUGAGGUGGAAGGAAAAGUCAAGACGACCCAGUACCCGAGUUGAAGCCAAACCAAACCGGAGUCUAUCGUCAGGAACAAAUGGGAGUGUCACAUGACGCACGUGCGCGAAACGAGAUGCGGCUAUUUUCUUCAGCUUGGCUAUACUCGAAAAUAGUAAUGCUUUAAUCGCGUGUCAUUUGCGGUUAAACGUCUAGGAAACGAUACGGAAAAAGCUCGAAUUCUAAUUUCGCAUUACGUCACAGUUCCGGGUUCAUGAUUUCUCGAAUAAAACAUAGGCAAAGUGAUUAAACAUCUUCGAUUGAUAAUAACUGUGUUAUUUCUUAAAGCUGCUUUAUAAAGAUUCGCCAAUGCUUCGACUAGGAAAUACGUAACUGACGAUUGUGGAGAACCGACAGAAUAGAGUUCUCUUGAAGAGAGCUUGCAUGGGAAAAAGAGAUAACGACAAGCUAAGCGGGACAAACCGGGAGUUCACCUCUGAAUAAUAUGCACGUACCACGUAAUCGAGUCUAAUCUUGCCGUAAUGACUGCAUUACAACAGCGAAACAAUAGCAUCAUAACUGUUUUACAACAAGUCCGGAAAGCGCUUGUAAAAUAACAUCUUUAACGUCCGGGAAAGUUUGCCCGACCGUCGUGUAAGCGCUAUUAUUUUUGAGUUUUCUAUGUACUUACAAUUGUAUUAAUGUAAUUAUAAGUAAAAAUUACAUCAGAAAAUUCAUCUUUA